rnacentral:lncRNA from 1 species
ACAGACUGCGGCACGCCAGCGAUGGUGAUGGCCCGCUCGGUGGAGUUGGGCAGCAUAUCCCCCGCCACCUGGACCUGCGCCCCCGUACUCUCGCGGAUCUCUUUGAUCUUACACCCGCCUUUCCCAAUCAGGGAGCCGCACUGGGUGGCCGGCACCACCAGCCUCAGGGUGACCGGGGGCCUGCUGGCCGCGGUACUGUUGGUCAUGGAGCUGUUGAUAUCUUCCUCCAGCUUGUCGAUGAUCAUAGCGAAAGCCUUAAAGAUGGCAUUGGUGGGGCCGGUCAGAGUGAUGAUUCUCUCCGGACAAUUCCCCUCCGAGAUGUUGAUCCGCGCGCCACUCUCCUCGCGGAUCCUCUUAACCGACUCCCCUUUCUUCCCAAUGAUGCUUCCUACUUCCUUUCCGUGCAUAAGAAGCCGAAUGAGGAAGACAAACAUAAAGAUGAAGUGCUUAAUUCAAGGUCACACAAUGUCGGGGAUGGACCUCCAGAUUUCCUUACUGGUGAGACGUGGUCUUGUAACACAGUGGUUAAGAAUGUGACUUUGGAGCCAGCCUGCUAGGGGCUGAAUUCUGACUCAGCCAUUUACUAACUGUGUGACCUUAGGCUGGAGUGCAAUGGCAUGAUCUCGGCUCAUCACAACCUCUGCUUCCUGGGUUCAAGCGAUUCUCCUGCCUCAGCCUCCCGAGUACCUGGGACUACAGGCACUCGCCACCAUGCCCGGCUGAUUUUUGUAUUUUUAAUAGAGAUGGUUUCACUAUGUUGGCCAGGCUGGUCUCGAACUCCUGACCUUGUGAUCUGCCCACCUCAGCCUCGAAAAGUGCUGGGAUUACAGGCGUGAGCCACUGCGCCCAGCCUUGUAUUUUUUUUCAGUUUGGGUAGCUGUCCCUAAUUCAUUUGUUAAAGGAGAAGCAAGAGCAAGAACCUUUAAUCUGUUCUCCUCUUCCCUAAUUUGAAAGUAGCUUGUUAUUUUGAAUAUCACUUUCUCUGAAAUAGCACAUCUCCAUCUCAGAGAAUGGAUUUAAUGUUUGGAUACAGCCAAAAGUCAUUUCAUUACCAAACCAUGGGGUGAAUAUACCAUGUAAAGCAGUUUGGGAUCAGAACUCACAGUCUGAAUUGUAAGUGAUGAGACUGCUGUCUCUCUGCUACAGCUUCUUGGCUGGCUCUGAAGGCUCUUUGAAGGCAGAUCCUAACAAGGGGACUGCUUUGAAGGGCCAUUGUUCAUUUGGAAUGAUAAAGUCUAUGUUGUUCAAAAAACAAAUGCUUGUAGCAGGUAUUUUUUCACUCCAGACUGAGAAUAUUGGUGGGAUAUUGAUAAGGGGUACUGAAUGGUAAUAAACAUGUGCUCUAGCUCUGUGCUAGUCAGCUUAUUUCAGAACUCUAGUUUGAUUCAGUUUCUUGCCUCUGACUCAAAAUGGAGGGAGAGUGAUUUUUACAUAAGAGAACACACCCACAUAUCCUUUUGGCAGCAGCUACCUGCCAGAGAUGUUGAAGAAGAGUAGCCAACCUUUACACAGCAGAUAUUGUGUGCCAGUCAUAGUCCUAAGUAUAAUACCUUACAUGUAUAAACUUCUUAUAAGGUUGGUGCUCUGUACCGAAUUGAAUAGUAUCCCCCAAAAUUCAUGUUGUCCCAGAACCUAUGAAAGUGAUC